rnacentral:rRNA from 1 species
AAUCAACGCUGGCGGCGUGCCUCAGACAUGCAAGUCGAACGCGAAAGUUCCCUUCGGGGGAUAAGUAGAGUGGCGUCCGGGUGAGUAACACGUAGGUAAUCUACCUUUGGGUGGGGAAUAACAACCGGAAACGGUUGCUAAUACCGCAUAAUGCAGCGGCACCACAUGGUGACAGUUGUUAAAGCGGGGGAUCGCAAGACCUCGCGCCUAAAGAGGAGCCUGCGGCGGAUUAGCUAGUUGGAGGGUAACGGCCUACCAAGGCAACGAUCCGUAGCCGGCCUGAGAGGGCGGUCGGCCACACUGACACUGAAAUACGGGUCAGACUCCUACGGGAGGCAGCAGUCGGGGAAUUUUGGGCAAUGGGCGAAAGCCUGACCCAGCAACGCCGCGUGAAGGAUG